rnacentral:tRNA from 1 species
GGAGAGGUGCCCGAGAGGCUGAAGGGGGCUGACUCGAAAUCAGUUUUGCCAGCAAUGGCAACGGGGGUUCAAAUCCCUCCCUCUCCG